GAAUAUUGGACAAUGGGGGCAACCCUGAUCCAGCCAUGCCGCGUGUGUGAAGAAGGCCUGUUGGUUGGAAAGCACUUUAAGCAGUGCAGAAGACUCCAUGGUUAAUAACCAUUGACGAUGACAUUAGCUGACGAAUAAUCACCGGCUAACUCUGUGCCAGCAGCCGCGGUAAUACAGAGGGUGCAAGCGUUAAUCGGAAUUACUGAGCGUAAAGCGAGCGUAGGUGGCUUGAUAAGUCAGAUGUGAAAUCCCCGGGCUUAACCUGGGAACUGCAUCUGAUACUGUUAGGCUAGAAUAGGUGAGAGGAAGGUAGAAUUCCAGGUGUAGCGGUGAAAUGCGUAGAGAUCUGGAGGAAUACCGAUGGCGAAGGCAGCCUUCUGGCAUCAUAUUGACACUGAGGUUCGAAAGCGUGGGUAGCAAAC
rnacentral:rRNA from 1 species